AAGGCUUUAGCUUAAUUAAAGUGUCUGCUUUGCAUGCAGAAGAUGUGGGAUAAUGACCCGUAAGUCUUA
rnacentral:tRNA from 1 species